rnacentral:tRNA from 1 species
GGAGGGGUGGCCGAGUCUGGCUGAAGGCGGGUGACUUGAAAUCACCUGAGGGUCUAACCAGCCCUCCGGGGGUUCAAAUCCCUCCCCCUCCGCCA